rnacentral:lncRNA from 1 species
CUCUUCCAACUCCUGAAACACCCAGUUCACCUCCUCCGACUCCUGAAACGCCUAGUCCACCUCCUGUGGCAUAUUCACCCGGUCCACCUCCUGAAGCUGAAACGCCUAGUUCACCUCCUGAGGCUGAAACACCCGAGUCACCUCCUGAGCCUGAAACUCCCAGUUCACCUCCUGAGGCUGAAACACCUGAGUCACCUCCUGAGCCUGAAACUCCCGAUUCACCUGCACCGAGUCCAAUCUAUGUUCUGUAGCUGAAGUUUUUUUACUAGGAAAAAUAAUGUUGAUUUAUUAUUAU